rnacentral:rRNA from 1 species
AAAUAGUGCAAGCAGCCUUCGGUUAUGCCACCGAAUACAUUAGCAUGGGAUAAUGGAAUAGGACCCUGUCCUCCUCUUUUCAGUUGGUUAAUUUAUGUGCGAGGAUCAGGGUAAUGAUUAAUAGGGAUAGUUGGGGGCAUUAAUAUUUAAUUGUCAGAGGUGAAAUUCUUGGAUUUAUGAAAGAUUAACUUCUGCGAAAGCAUCUGCCAGGGAUGUUUUCAUUAAUCAAGAACGAAAGUUAGGGGAUCGAAGACGAUCAGAUACCGUCGUAGUCUUAACCAUAAACGAUGCCGACCAGCGAUUAGGAGACGUUGAAUACAAAACACCGCUAAAGAUAAUUCAUUAUAUGGCUUCACGGCUGUAUAGUGU